rnacentral:lncRNA from 1 species
UAAUUUAAUCAGAUUAAAUUAGAUUUAAAUCUAAUUUAAUUUUUUAAUCAAAUUAGAAAUUAGAUUGACCCAAGUCCUAGUUGAACUAGGACUAGUUUUUUCUUGCACUUGGCUUAUCCAAUAAACCAAUUGGACUUGAUCCAAUCAAGUCCAAACUAAAUCUAAUUAAAUUAUAUUUAAUUAUACUUAAUCUCAGUCCAUUGGCUUAAUCAAAUUAAGCCAAUUAGCAAUCGAAUUGCUAAUCGAUCCUCCUGCAACACUUACACUGGGUUAAAUGUCAAUCGUAUUGAUCAUUUAACCCUAGAACGAUUCUUAAUCGUUGAUCAACCAUCCG